GCUGGGAGCAAGAAUCCACCAGGAGUGGACGAACCUGAGGGCCUGGACGACCUUCUUGGGGCCUGAUUACAAUGAGGACGUGGGCCCCUAUAAGCAUAGUGAUGAGAAAUCCCUGAUGGAAUAAUGAGCAGAGGAAGUGUAAUGCAGUAUUUGAGCCUCAGACACUUCAGAUAAGCAGCUCUGACGACCAGGUCUGCUGGGAGCAAGAAAACACCAGGAGUGGACGAACCUGAGGGCAUGGACGACCUUCUUG